CGCUCGCUACUCUGGUUUAAAUAAAUUAUUACAAAGUCCAGUUGAAUUGUAAUCAAGACCCAACGUUUUGACACUCCAGUCUAGUGUCUUCAUCAGGGGUGAUCUAAAGUUGCAAUUGUCGCUUCUUAAAUACCCAAGGGAUGACGUCACCUGCCAAUGAGAUGCAUGUAAUAUGAUAUUAAUGUUGCCUUAAAACCGUAUUUGACUUUAGGC